UACGUAGGGCAAGCGUUAUCCGGAAUCACUGGGCGUAAAGGGUGCGUAGGCGGCCUAGCAAGUCAGAGGUGAAAGGCAUUGGGCUCAACCAAUGUAAGCCUUUGAAACUGUUGGCUUGAGUGCAGGAGAGGUAAGUGGAAUUCCUAGUGUAGAGGUGAAAUUCGUAGAUAUUAGGAGGAACACCAGUGGCGAAGGCGACUUACUGGACUGUAACUGACGCUGAGGCACGAAAGCGUGGGGAGCGAACAGG
rnacentral:rRNA from 1 species